rnacentral:sRNA from 1 species
AAGAGGGAUGGUUACAAGAUAAAC